AAAAAUUUAGUUAACAUAUAACAUUAAUUUGUCAAAUUAAAAUAAUUAAUCAUUAAUAAUUUUUA
rnacentral:tRNA from 1 species